rnacentral:misc_RNA from 1 species
GUUUUUGUUAUAUUCAACCUGUUCUGAAAGCAAAGAGUACAAAAAUCAAUUGUUGAUAAGAAAAUAAAUGAACAAAAGAGUAUCACUAACAACAUGGGAUUAAGCAGAUCAGAAGGAAGACAAUUUCAAGGAUGAUGCUAGAUACAAAAGGUAGCUGCACACAAACAUACUAUUCUCAAGGUAGAGUAAAUAGGCCACUGUCAUAUACUUGCAUGCUAAUAGAUAACCAGAUCCAAGUGCAACACAGCAUGGGUUAAGAGAAACAUGCACUCAAGAAAGUGUGGCACAGUGCCUUGGACAUCAAGGGUAGUACUAGGGGUGAGCAGAUUUCGGUCUA